UGUUAGGUAGCCAAGAAAAAGAAGCACCUUCUGUGGACUCUGCCCCACCCCACCUCAGGCAGCCAUGGGGUGGAGAGGGCUGUUUGUGCCUUCUUGUUCCAGUGGAGGCAAGUCGGGUCAAGUCGACAGCAUGACUGCACUCAAGAGCUGACUGUCAGCGGUGCCUGCAAAACACGCACAUGAGAAAUGACUUCACGCUUGGAGACCAGCUUACCAGCAAGCAUAUUAAUUUAGGGGAAAACGAACACAGGACUUAGAAGGAAAGCAAAACAAUAACAAAAAAAUGAAGUAGUUUGGCAAGUGGAGUCACUCAAAGAAUGAGCAGUCACCAGAAGAGGGACGGGCGGGGUUCAGAUUUUUUUUUAAUAUAAAUAACCUCAAUUGGGAAAAUAUGAACAUGUAUCUAUACAUGAACCUCCUAUGACUUCCUGAAAAGUACGUGGGAUUUUUCUCCAUAUGGAUCAAAUGGCCUUAGGGGACAGGAAAAGGGACUUUUCCUUUCUCCUUCUAGAGGAAGAAGAGAACACCAGAGAAGUCUUUGGAGCAUCCAGGAGAGUUCAGUUGUUGUGAAAAGCAAGGAAUCCAUGUCCUCUGUUGCUAGCAAUCUCCAAGUCACUUGCUGGUUUUGCUGAGCCGGGUCCGGGUGCCGUCCAGAAAUGGAAGAGAAUAUUUACAAAAGAAAAUACAUUCUUCAGGACCCUGGGGCUUAAGGGGCACUUCCUUGGAAUUGCAUCUAUCAGCGUGAGAAUGUGACCAUUCGUGUGACCAUGAACAACAGACAACCUAAUGUACUGAGUGUUUCUGACACCCUGGCACAGGAGCCACCCUGCCCUGCCCUGCCCAACCCCAACCUACCCCAAUCCCUUCAGCCAUCUCUCAUCUCCUCCUGGCUCUGCAGGAUUUAUAGAAGGAGGACUCUGGUACCGAGCAUUAAGAAGAUGUAAGGGGGCACGUGAUUGGAUUUGAUUGGAAAUAUCAGACUGUUGAGCAGGAGGGAAGGAUGUACAGUGUCAAACACUCUUCAGUCAGACCAGGCUAAGUCUACCUGUGACAUCUCAAACGGCUCAGUCCCAAGGCAUCCCAGGGCCUCAGCAGAGAACCUUAAGGGACCCUGAUUUUAAUCCCUGGCUUCUAGUGGAACUCCAUGCAGGACAGUGUCAGUGUCCACUGGCCUUUUUCAUAUGGUGACCAGCAGAGAGGAAACACAAAAUUGGGGAAUGGAAGGAGGUAGGUGUCUGCCCAUGCCCGAUUGUGCAACCUCCCUUCUUUAUGGAACGCAGAUCUUCACUUCUAAUCAAUUCCUUGCAGGAUCCCAGUUCCUGGGUUGCAUUCCUGAAGUGAUUAGCACUGAUAAAAGUUUACUGAGCUUUUGCUAUGUGCCAGAUAUUAUGCUUAAGUAUUCUUUUUUAUUAGCUUUACUGGGACAGAAUUUACAAACCAUAAAACGGAUUCAUUAAAUGUAUACAAUUCAAAGAUUUUCAGAAAAUUUAUAGGAUUGGGCAGCCAUUAUCAAGAUCCAGUUUUAGAGUGUUCCAUCAUCUUCCAAAACUCCCUUAAAUCUGUUUGUAGUCAGUCUUCUAACCCACGUUCAGCUCCAGGAAAUCAUUGAUCUGCCUUCUGUCUCUACAAAUUAGUCUUUUCUAGGAAUUUCAUGUAAGUUGAAUCAUAAAAUAUAUAUUCUUUUGUAUCUGGUUUCUUUCCCUUGGUACAGUGUUUUUGAGAUUCAUCUAUGUGAUAGCAUGUAUCAGUAUUCCAUUCCUUUUUAUUGUUGAAUAGUAUUCCACUGUAUGGAUAUACCACAUUUUGUGUUAACUAUUGACAAGAUGAUGGACAUUUGGAUCACUGUAGCUUUUUAGUUAUUAUGAAUACUGUUGAUAUGAAUGUUCACCUACAAAUAUUUAUGUGAACAUGUGUUUUCGUUUCUUUUGGUUAGAUAUUUAGGAGUAAAAUCAUUAGGCUGCUUAAUAAACUUCUUUUUAA